rnacentral:lncRNA from 1 species
CUUCCUUAUCCAGGAUGGCUGCUGGACCUCAAGCCCUCCGGUCUGAAACCCAGCCAGCAGGGAGGAGGAAAUCCAGGAAAGGGCUUUAAAGACAUUUCCUGUUAGUCACAUGUCAUCUCCUCUUAUAUACCACUGAUCAGAACUGAGUUGCAUGGUUACAACUUAGCUACAAGGGAAAUGUAGUACUUGUUCAGUGUGGCUAUGUAUCCAUUUAAAAAUCAGGUGACUUCUACCAUCAAAAACUGAGAGGAUAUUUGAAGAUAGCCUGUAGUCUUGGCCACUCCUUCCAUUUCUUUACUCAUAUUGGUGAUAUAAAUAUUAAACUGAUCAAGACUAAGGACAAUAAGAGUUAAUAUUUAUUGUGCAUUUACUAUGUGCCAGGCUUUGCCCUAGGCACUUUUCAUGGAAUCAUGUAGCUAAUUUCCACAAAAUUCUUUUAAGUAAGAUCCUAUUUUUACUCUAUUACAUAGAUGGAAAAACAGAGGUCAAGAGAUCCUAGAGCCCAAGGUCAUACAGCUUAUAAGGUUUAUUGCUAAGUUUGGAAUCCAAGUUCUUAAUUAACUAGUACAAUGUGUUGCCUUUGGGCAGUGUGAGAGAGGUGUAAGCAUGUCUUAUUUUGGUAACGAUUAUUUUGGAAUUUUUUUGUCACUCAUAUCUGUAGUCUGCCUUCUCUGCUACAGGCCUCCCUUGGGUUGAAAUUAAUUAGCGAGCCACAGGCAAUCCUUCAAUUAAUGACUGUUCCACCCCUGUUUCUUCUCAGGUCUGUUUAGCAGCUGAGCCUUGCCCUUUAUAAUUACGAAAAAAUAGGGUCAGGUCCCAGAACCAGGUUUAUGCUUAGGAAGGGGAGAUGAUGCAUAUCCUACAUAGGGGAUGCAAACACGUCACAUGGCUGGCUGUGGGAGUGAGGGGCAGCUUCAAAAGCUCUGGAGCAAGAAAGACCUCAGGGCGAAUUCUCCUUGCCCUCUCAACUUCAGUGGAUAAGAACUCUUUGUAUAUUUGUUAUGAGGAGUAAAAUGUGGGUGCAGGAGCGCACGUAUCAUGCAUCUGUACACCACACAGCGUGGAGUCUGGCACCUACCAGGUAUCUGUGUUUUAUUACUUGAUCAUGACCAGUGAAAGCUCCAACUCACUGUUGGAGCUCCAGGCAUCCAUGAAAGAGAAAGAAAUGUGAAGGAUUUGAGGCAGAAAAUAUGGUGAAGGGGAUAAACAUUGUCACAUCUUUUUAAAAAUAUAUCUAUCUUGACUUCUGGGAAGUUAACUGAAGGAACAAAUUCAACUGAAACAAAAACCUAGGUGCUUGAUUUUCAGGACUAUCUCAACAGCUAAACUCUCAAGCCCCUCUACCAAACACUGGGGGAGGAAGGUCUUGGUGCACAGGGCACAGCAGUUCAGUGGAACUGUGGGAAGCCCUGUAAGAGAAGAGGAUUGAGGCCCUGCUGCAAUGUGGAGAAAUAUUUAGGAUUUCAUAUCAGUGAAAGAAGGAAGACAUAAGUGGCCUGAUAUAUAUUUGCAACUAUACGUACAUUUUAUUUCUAUGCAAGAAAUGUUUAUUUCUAUGUAAGAGUAGAAGAAAGGAACUACAAUUUGAAUAUGUUCCCCCAAACCCAUGUGUUGGAAACAAUCCUUAAUGCAACAAUGUUAAGAGGUGAAACCCUUUAAAAGGGACUAGGCUAUGCAUGGGUUAAUGUCAUUACUGGAGUGAAUUUGUUAUUGUGGGACUAAAAGGAUGAGUUUGGCCCCUGUUGAAUUUCCUCUCACCCUCUAUUUCCCUUCCACCUUCUUAUGGAGAGAGAUUUUGGGACAAUGCAGCACAAAGGCCUCAACAGAUACAGAACACUUGAUUUUGGACUUCUCAGCCAUUAGCACUGUAAGAAAGAAAUCUCUGUUCUUUAUAAAUCACCCAGUGUCAGAUACUAUGUUAGAGCAGCACAAAAUGGACAAAGACAGAAGGUAAACGUUCAUAAAAACAUUGAUUAUUGAUUUAAAAAAAAUAAAAUAAAAACAGAUUUGGUAUAAGGUUGUGGAAAAAUUGCAAUAUUUCCAAUAUUUUCAUACACUGUUCAAUUGAACAAAGCAAACAAGGAGACUGGGUGUGUAGCUCACUGGUAGAGCACUUGCCUACAAUGUGCAAGGCCCAAGGCUUAAUCCCCAGUGCCACAAAACAAACAAACAAACAAAAACAUUUUAAUGAAGUUUUCCAAAGUUUCAUCAAGUAGAAAGUCAGUUUUUGGUCUUUUUAGUAAUUGUUUUCACAAUGAAGCCAGACCUUGGUUUCUAAAUACCAAUUUUCACUGAAGGGAACUAGGACUCCUUGAAGACCUG